rnacentral:rRNA from 1 species
ACCAGACUCCUACGGGAGGCAGCAGUGGGGAAUAUUGGACAAUGGGGGGAACCCUGAUCCAGCGACGCCGCGUGAGUGAAGAAGUAUUUCGGUAUGUAAAGCUCUAUCAGCAGGGAAGAAAAUGACGGUACCUGAGUAAGAAGCCCCGGCUAACUACGUGCCAGCAGCCGCGGUAAUACGUAGGGGGCAAGCGUUAUCCGGAUUUACUGGGUGUAAAGGGAGCGUAGACGGCAGUGCGAGUCUGGAGUGAAAGGCGGGGGCUCAACCCCCGGACUGCUCUGGAAACUGUACGGCUGGAGUGCAGGAGGGGUAAGUGGAAUUCCUAGUGUAGCGGUGAAAUGCGUAGAUAUUAGGAGGAACACCAGUGGCGAAGGCGGCGUACUGGACUGUAACUGACGUUGAGGCUCGAAAGCGUGGGGAGCAAACAGGAUUAGAUACCCGAGUAACG